rnacentral:rRNA from 1 species
UACGUAGGGCGCAAGCGUUGUCCGGAAUUAUUGGGCGUAAAGAGCGUGUAGGCGGCCAGGUAGGUCUGCUGUGAAAACUCGAGGCUCAACCUCGAGAUGUCGGCGGAAACCAUCUGGCUAGAGUCCGGAAGAGGAGAAUGGAAUUCCCGGUGUAGCGGUGAAAUGCGCAGAUAUCGGGAAGAACACCCGUGGCGAAGGCGGUUCUCUGGGACGGUACUGACGCUGAGACGCGAAAGCGUGGGGAGCGAACAGG